rnacentral:lncRNA from 1 species
GGCAAAUGGUAGAUUCACAAAACUCUUCUUUAAAGAUCUGUCUCCAUACGUAAAGAAGAUGUUAUUAACAUACUUUCUUACAUAGACAAAAGAAAUUGUAGAAAGUGUUUUUUUUUUCUUCGGUAUCUUGUGUCUAACGUGAAUAUAUUUAUAGUUUGGUUUUCACUCCUUCACGUAUUCAGAAUAUAUUGAAACGGUGUUGAUAUUUCCACUCGAGUUAUUCUUGGGUUCACCCCCUAGGGUGAACCUCUAGGUUCACCAACCAAUAAGAUUUCAUUAUUUCAAAUUCAAUAUCUUUUAGAAAAGAAA